rnacentral:rRNA from 1 species
UACGUAGGUGGCAAGCGUUGUCCGGAUUUACUGGGCGUAAAGGGAGCGUAGGCGGACUUUUAAGUGAGAUGUGAAAUACCCGGGCUCAACCUGGGUGCUGCAUUUCAAACUGGAAGUCUAGAGUGCAGGAGAGGAGAAUGGAAUACCUAGUGUAGCGGUGAAAUGCGUAGAGAUUAGGAAGAACACCAGUGGCGAAGGCGAUUCUCUGGACUGUAACUGACGCUGAGGCUCGAAAGCGUGGGGAGCAAACAGG